CAAGAUCUCCUCCAGUAAGUGAGACAGCUUAGGCAUUCCAUGCUGAGCUGAAGGUCAUGUUAUGUCAGGACGUAAAUCAGUACGCUAUGAUGUAUUUCGGUAUACCCUAGUGCUAAUGGAUAAAGAGACAAGUGCAAAAGUCUUAAAAGGAAACUGAGUAGAAGUUCUCAAUUACAAGCAUAUGUCACCUCAGACCAUGAAGAAGAAGUCACACCACACGGGUAAUUGCACGCUCAACUGUUUUCUGAGAAUUGCCAGGAUCUGAGCCAACUUACCAUCUCUGCAUUGUAUUCUUCACAGGUUUACAUGAAAUAAAUCUACUCUUUAUUUUUAAAGCUAUU
rnacentral:lncRNA from 1 species